AUCCAUCAUGGUUUGGUCUGAUUUCUGAUUUCUCAUCUUCAGGCAGAGAUGUGUGAUUUUUCCUAAUAGUCAGCAUCACGUCUUUGGGGUAGAAGCCAGUGGCCAUACAGGUAUCCUUUGGUGUAUUGGUUUAGGAUCGGCACACUGUCCCAUUUUCUCUUGGUUGGUAGAGCUGCAUCAAUAAAGGCGACCCAUUGAGACUCUUUAAUAUCAAAAGACAAGAAGUUUUCUCCAUCAUAGCCGUACUCAUCAAUGCCUUUGAGAAACUUCACUUCAUCUCCCUGCUGCUCAACUUCACAACCGUGUCUUCACUGAAGAACAUGAAGAUCUGACAUGGAGAAGAGUCAAAAUGUUUGUGAGAUGAUGAUGAUAAUAAUAAUAAUAAUAAUAAACAUAAUAAGAUAAUCAUAUGCAGGUUAAACUGUAUGAAUGUUCCUCACCUGAUUCAUUGUGUCUCAUUCGGUCCAUCAUAAUGUGGACGUUCACAUUAAACCACUGUUCUUUA